GUUUGAACUGUUACAUCUCUGGUAAAGAAAAAAGAGAGAAGGAAAGGCUUUUUGAUGGUUUCCAUCUUUUGGUCUGGAGUUUUCUCUAAAGGUGUACAUCGUUUGCUUGGUCAUCUGAAUCUGUGAUGGCAUGGGCUACAUCUGUCCUCCACAA